CCUCAUUAGCAGAGUCUCAACUUCAGACCCGCCAACAAAUUAAGAAACUGGAAGAGUUGCAGCAAAAAGUUUCCUACAAAGGGGACCCCAUUGUACAGCACCGGCCAAUGCUGGAGGAGAGAAUUGUGGAGCUGUUUAGAAACUUAAUGAAAAGUGCUUUUGUUGUCGAGCGGCAGCCCUGCAUGCCCAUGCAUCCCGACCGGCCGCUAGUCAUCAAGACGGGUGUCCAGUUUACUACCAAAGUCAGGUUGCUGGUCAAAUUCCCGGAGUUGAAUUAUCAGCUUAAAAUUAAAGUAUGCAUUGACAAGUAAGUACUCCUA